UACGUAGGGUGCAAGCGUUGUCCGGAAUUAUUGGGCGUAAAGAGCUCGUAGGCGGUCUGUCGCGUCGGAUGUGAAAAAUCCAGGGCUCAACCCUGGACCUGCAUUCGAUACGGGCAGACUAGAGUUCGGCAGGGGAGACUGGAAUUCCUGGUGUAGCGGUGAAAUGCGCAGAUAUCAGGAGGAACACCAAUGGCGAAGGCAGCUCGCUGGGACGUGACUGACGCUGAGACGCGAAAGCGUGGGGAGCAAACAGG
rnacentral:rRNA from 1 species